AGGGGUGUAGUUUAAUGGACAGAACGCUUCGCUUAUAGCGAAGAGACGGAGGUUCGAAUCCUUCCACGCCUACCA
rnacentral:tRNA from 1 species